rnacentral:lncRNA from 1 species
ACCGUGUAUUUAGAUUCUUAAUAUUUGGUCCUGUUUUCAAGUUGGUCUACAUUAAGGUCCAAAGGGUCCAAAAUUAAACUUAGUUUGAUUUUAACAAAAAUCAAAUUCUUUGGGUUCUUUGAUAUGCUGAAAUUAAACAUGUACUUAGAUUUUUGAUUAUGGGCCCAGUUUUCAAGUUGGUCCAAAUCGGGGUCCCAAAUUUUACUUUAGGAGUCCCAACCCAUAUAGAGCUAUACUAAACUAUCCCUAACCCCAAACCUUACCCUAACUGAUUCCUAAACCUAGCACUAGCUCUAACCCUAAAACCUAACCCUAACCUAAAACAUCUAACCUAACUAUAACCAUGAAAGAAGUCAAUCUCUAAAGUAUAAGGACCCUUAAAGUAAAAGAAGGACAAUUCUUGGGGUUCUAUGAUAUGCUGAAUCUAACCAUGUAUUUAGAUUUUGGAUAUUGGACCAUAAUAGGUAAAUGUCCAAUUUAAAAUUUUUAAGUUUUUGGGUUAAGUUUAAGUUUCUCAGACCACAUUCAUUCUGUGUCAGAAACCUAUGUUGUGUCAACUAUUUAAUCACAAUCCAAAUUCAGAGCUGUAUCAAGCUUAAAUGUUGUGUCCAUACUUGCCCCAACUGUUCAGGGUUCGACCUCUGCGGUUGUAUAAAGCUGCGCCCUGUGGAGCAUCUGGUUGUUUUUGUUGUGUGUAUUCUCCAAGUUGUGUAGAAAGUUUCGAAAUUGUUUUUAUGAUAGUUUGUUGCUUAUCUGAUACAUGGAUUAUGCUGGUUAUAAUGUUUUACUC